rnacentral:rRNA from 1 species
GACGAACGCUGGCGGCGUGCUUAACACAUGCAAGUCGAACGGAAAGGCCCUGCUUUUGUGGGGUGCUCGAGUGGCGAACGGGUGAGUAACACGUGAGUAACCUGCCCUUGACUUUGGGAUAACUUCAGGAAACUGGGGCUAAUACCGGAUAGGAGCUCCUGCUGCAUGGUGGGGGUUGGAAAGUUUCGGCGGUUGGGGAUGGACUCGCGGCUUAUCAGCUUGUUAGUGGGGUAGUGGCUUACCAAGGCUUUGACGGGUAGCCGGCCUGAGAGGGUGACCGGCCAAAGUGGGACUGAGAUACGGCCCAGACUCCUACGGGAGGCAGCAGUGGGGAAUAUUGCAAAAUGGGCGGAAGCCUGAUGCAGCAACGCCGCGUGCGGGAUGACGGCCUUCGGGUUGUAAACCGCUUUCGCCUGUGACGAAGCGUGAGUGACGGUAAUGGGUAAAGAAGCACCGGCUAACUACGUG